rnacentral:ncRNA from 1 species
CAUGAGUUUGAAACGUGCUGGUUAUUAACUGUAAUAUUAAAUUAAUUUUUUUUGAUUUUUUUGCUAAAUUUGGUUUGGUUACUGGGAAAUUUUUCUAACUUUUUUAUAUAUUUUAUAAAAACAAAUGAAUAGAAAAUUUAAUUUAUUUAAUAAUAAAAAAUUAUUGAGAGUUAGAAAUAAACUCUAGCUAAAUUUGUGCCAGCAGCAGCGGUUAAACAAAUAGAGGACUUCCUUUUUUAAUUUAAUUUAAAAAAUAAAUUUAAAAUGUAUUUAAAAUUAAAGGUGAAAUUUAAUUUUAAUUUAUUUAAAAAAUAAAAUUGAAAUUUCAAUUUUAAACUAGGAUUAGAUACCCUAUUAUUAUGAAGCUUGACAUUGUAAGUAAGUAUUAAUUAUAAAAGCAAAAAAUUAUGGCGGUAUCUUAAGCUUUUCAGAGGAAUUUGCUCUUUAAUGGAUAAAACACCUAAAUCUUACUUUGAUUUGUUAAGCCAAUUUGUAUACCACUAUUAAAAUAAUAAUAUACAAUUAUUAUUAAAAUAUAAUUUAUAUGGAAAAUUAAGUCAAGGUGCAGUAAAAGUCAAAGAGUGAAGUGAAUUACAUUUCUUUUUAGAAAGAAAACAUGAAAUUUAAUUUAGGAUUUGAAAGUAAAAUUAAAAUAGUAUGUUAAUUUGAAUUGAGCUCUAAGAUAUGUACAUAUCGCCCGUCACUCUUUUUAAGAUAAGUCGUAACAAAGUUAAAAUACUGGAAAGUGUUUUA